AGCGAACGCUGGCGGCAGGCCUAACACAUGCAAGUCGAACGGACCCUUCGGGGUUAGUGGCGGACGGGUGAGUAACACGUGGGAACGUGCCCUUUGGUUCGGAACAACUCAGGGAAACUUGAGCUAAUACCGAAUGUGCCCUUCGGGGGAAAGAUUUAUCGCCAUUGGAGCGGCCCGCGUCUGAUUAGCUAGUUGGUGGGGUAAUGGCCCACCAAGGCUACGAUCAGUAGCUGGUCUGAGAGGAUGAUCAGCCACAUUGGGACUGAGACACGGCCCAAACUCCUACGGGAGGCAGCAGUGGGGAAUCUUGCGCAAUGGGCGAAAGCCUGACGCAGCCAUGCCGCGUGAAUGAUGAAGGUCUUAGGAUUGUAAAAUUCUUUCACCGGGGACGAUAAUGACGGUACCCGGAGAAGAAGCCCCGGCUAACUUCGUGCCAGCCGCCGCCGUAACAC
rnacentral:rRNA from 1 species